AACGAACGCUGGCGGCGUGCCUAACACAUGCAAGUCGAGCGCGAAUGGAGCAAUCCUAGUAGAGCGGCGCACGGGUGCGUAACACGUGGGUAAUCUGCCUCAAAGCCCGGGAUAACCUGCCGAAAGGCAAGCUAAUACCGGAUAAGCCUACGGACUCUUCGGGGUCUGAAGGAAAAGGUGGCCUCUGUAUACAAGCUAUCACUUUGAGAUGAGCCCGCGGCCCAUCAGCUCGUUGGCGGGGUAACGG
rnacentral:rRNA from 1 species